rnacentral:lncRNA from 1 species
UAGCUGUUGCUGAGCUUGGAUGAGUGUCAUCCAUCACAAUUUCAUUAUCUUGAAACUUUGGCUGAAGUGUCAAAUGAGCACGAUCAAGUUGAUAUGCAUGCUUGCCAAUCUUGGCAUUGAUGAGCAUAUGAAUGUAUGGUGCAUAUUUGCAUGAUCUCUUAUGAUCUGCAGAAGUUCUCGUGGUAGUCUCGGCAAGACUUUGAAGCGAGUGUGGGUGUCUAAAUGAAGCAACAUGUUGAUGGAAUAGCCUCUAAUCAUUUUGUCAUCACCUGAUUUGGGCAUCAGGGUAUGCCUCAAGAUAGUGUUGUGUAACGCCCCAGACACACCCGCCGGCGGCCGUUAUUCCUGGCGGGAUCUAGACUGGCCCCACAUAUUAAUACUAGUGUUUUCUGCGCACUUUGUCCUCACU